UGUUUAGUCUUAAAAUGUUUUUUGUAAAUAUACAAGAUUUUAACUGUUCACUUUUGAUUGAUAUUAGGCAGUGGAUCAUUUACUCAAUGAGAAGUUUAGUGACAAUUCUGAAGCGGAACUAGGUUUUAUAACAAGAAAGGAGAAAAAAAAAAGGAAACGAG